UAAGGAAUAUUGGUCAAUGGACGCAAGUCUGAACCAGCCAUGCCGCGUGAAGGAUGAAGGUCCUCUGGAUUGUAAACUUCUUUUAUCUGGGACGAAAACGGGAUUUUUAUCUCAAUUGACGGUACCAGAGGAAUAAGCACCGGCUAACUCCGUGCCAGCAGCCGCGGUAAUACGGAGGGUGCGAGCGUUAUCCGGAUUUACUGGGUUUAAAGGGUGCGUAGGUGGGCUUAUAAGUCAGUGGUGAAAUCUCCGAGCUUAACUUGGAAACUGCCGUUGAUACUAUAGGUCUUGAAUUAUCUGGAGGUAAGCGGAAUAUGUCAUGUAGCGGUGAAAUGCUUAGAUAUGACAUAGAACACCAAUUGCGAAGGCAGCUUACUACAUAUAAAUUGACGCUGAGGCACGAAAGCGUG
rnacentral:rRNA from 1 species